AUACGGAGGGUGCAAGCGUUGUUCGGAAUCACUGGGCGUAAAGGGCGCGCAGGCGGUUUUACAAGUCAGAUGUGAAAGCCCACGGCUUAACCGUGGAAGUGCAUUUGAAACUGUAAGACUUGAGUAUCAGAGGGGAAGGUGGAAUUCCCGGUGUAGAGGUGAAAUGCGUAGAUAUCGGGAGGAAUACCGGUGGCGAAGGCGACUUUCUGGCUGAAUACUGACGCUGAGGCGCGAAAGCGUGGGGAGCAAACAGGAUUAGAAACCCUGGUAGUCC
rnacentral:rRNA from 1 species